rnacentral:rRNA from 1 species
AUUGAACGCUGGCGGCAUGCCUUACACAUGCAAGUCGAACGGUAACAGGUUAAGCUGACGAGUGGCGAACGGGUGAGUAAUGUAUCGGAACGUGCCCAGUCGUGGGGGAUAACUGCUCGAAAGAGCAGCUAAUACCGCAUACGACCUGAGGGUGAAAGCGGGGGAUCGCAAGACCUCGCGCGAUUGGAGCGGCCGAUAUCAGAUUAGGUAGUUGGUGGGGUAAAGGCCUACCAAGCCGACGAUCUGUAGCUGGUUUGAGAGGACGACCAGCCCCCCUGGGACUGAGACCCGGCCCCGACUCCUACGGGAGGCAGCAGUGGGGAAUUUUGGACAAUGGGCGCAAGCCUGAUCCAGCCCUGCCGCGUGCGGGAAGAAGGCCUUCGGGUUGUAAACCGCUUUUGUCAGGGAAGAAACGCUUUGGGUUAAUACCCUGGGGUAAUGACGGUACCUGAAGAAUAAGCACCGGCUAACUACGUG